UAUGUCUAUAUCCCAUUCCGAUUCUUGUUUUCUUCCCCAUUUCUUUCUCCCCCGUUCCCCUUCCAACCUGCGAUUUCCAGGGUUUCGGCCACAUCUCCAACCGACGAUGGCGGCGUGAUAUGCGACGACCGCUUGAUCUCCGGCCGUGGAAGGUUUUCGAUUGUAUUGUUUCCCUGGUUUAUGGCUAUCCAAGAUAACUCCUCGAUCCUACAAAGCCAAUGAAUAAGAUAACUCAGAGACUCUUUGACGAGAUGACUAAUCAAAAUGGUAUAUCCAAAUCUUUGCUAAGAAAUCAACACCAAGUACAUUGUUCAGGAUUUCAUUGUGAUUUCUUCAAUAAUAUGUUUUUAAUUUUUAGUUUCUAUUUUUUUUAAUGAAAUGAGAAUUGAAUUAUUUGUAGAAAAUAUUGACUUUCAUGCGUAUUAAUCAGUACAUGUUUUCAAUUGCAGACAUGUGUUCUUAUAGUCCGUAUACAUUGUGAAGGUUGUAAGGAUAGGUCAGGAAGAAGGUGCAGAAGGUUCAAGGUAAGUUGUGGGGUUCAGUUGUAUUUUAUUCGUUGUUUAAUUGGUUUAUUGUUUGGCUGGGUUCAUGUGGUACAUGGAAGCAAUAAAUAACAUAUUGUUGUAGGAGCUUUGUUGAUUCUUUGAAAAUGUGAACUCAAUUUUACUCUGUUUCAAUUAUGUUUCAUAUUCUGUUAUUUACUUGAGUUAUGCUUGUAUUGUAAUUCAAAGAAGGAAAAUGUUUGUCUGGCAAACUCUAUAUCUGAAAUGCAUAAAUUUGGAGCAAUCUAUAAUAUCAAAUGGUUCUCAUACUUUGGCACAUGAAUCCAAUGAUUUGGGUAAAAAAGAUAAAAAGAAGAAAGGAACAAAAAGAGGAAGGCACUUUGAUAGAGAUUCUCGAGCUACUAAUCCAGAGGUCUCAAUUUGGUGUGAUCUCACUGUAGUUGAAGACAACUGUAUUUGUUCACCUCUUUUCGGUAUUCCU